CUAACACAUGCAAGUCGAGCGGUAACAGAUCCAGCUUGCUGGAUGCUGACGAGCGGCGGACGGGUGAGUAAUGCAUAGGAAUCUGCCCGAUAGUGGGGGAUAACCUGGGGAAACCCAGGCUAAUACCGCAUACGUCCUACGGGAGAAAGGGGGCUCCGGCUCCCGCUAUGGGAUGAGCCUAUGUCGGAUUAGCUAGUUGGUGAGGUAACGGCUCACCAAGGCCACGAUCCGUAGCUGGUCUGAGAGGAUGAUCAGCCACAUCGGGACUGAGACACGGCCCGAACUCCUACGGGAGGCAGCAGUGGGGAAUAUUGGACAAUGGGGGCAACCCUGAUCCAGCCAUGCCGCGUGUGUGAAGAAGGCCCUCGGGUUGUAAAGCACUUUCAGCGAGGAAGAACGCCUAGCGGUUAAUACCCGCUAGGAAAGACAUCACUCGCAGAAGAAGCACCGGCUAACUCCGUGCCAGCAGCCGCGGUAAUACGGAGGGUGCAAGCGUUAAUCGGAAUUACUGGGCCGUAAAGCGCGCGUAGGUGGCUUGAUAAGCCGGUUGUGAAAGCCCCGGGCUCAACCUGGGAACGGCAUCCGGAACUGUCAAGCUAGAGUGCAGGAGAGGAAGGUAGAAUUCCCGGUGUAGCGGUGA
rnacentral:rRNA from 1 species